GACGAACGCUGGCGGCGUGCUUAACACAUGCAAGUCGAACGGAAAGGCCCUGCUUUUGUGGGGUGCUCGAGUGGCGAACGGGUGAGUAACACGUGAGUAACCUGCCCUUGACUUUGGGAUAACUUCAGGAAACUGGGGCUAAUACCGGAUAGGAGCUCCUGCUGCAUGGUGGGGGUUGGAAAGUUUCGGCGGUUGGGGAUGGACUCGCGGCUUAUCAGCUUGUUGGUGGGGUAGUGGCUUACCAAGGCUUUGACGGGUAGCCGGCCUGAGAGGGUGACCGGCAAAAUUGGAACUGAGAUACGGCCAAGACUCCUACGGGAGGCAGCAGUGGGGAAUAUUGCACAAUGGGCGGAAGCCUGAUGCAGCAACGCCGCGUGCGGGAUGACGGCCUUCGGGUUGUAAACCGCUUUCGCCUGUGACGAAGCGUGAGUGACGGUAAUGGGUAAAGAAGCACCGGCUAACUACGU
rnacentral:rRNA from 1 species